ACAGGGUCUCAUUUUGUUGCCCAGGUUGGAGUUGGAGACCAGCCUGGGCAACAAAAUGAGACCCUUC
rnacentral:pre_miRNA from 1 species